rnacentral:rRNA from 1 species
ACGGGAGGCAGCAGUGGGGGAUAUUGGACAAUGGGGGAAACCCUGAUCCAGCGACGCCGCGUGAGUGAAGAAGUAUUUCGGUAUGUAAAGCUCUAUCAGCAGGGAAGAUGAUGACGGUACCUGACUAAGAAGCCCCGGCUAACUACGUGCCAGCAGCCGCGGUAAUACAUAGGGAGCAAGCGUUAUCCGGAUUUACUGGGUGUAAAGGGUGCGUAGGCGGCAUGGCAAGUCAGUCGUUAAAGCCCAGAGCUUAACUCUGGAUCUGCGAUUGAAAAUGUCAAGCUAGAGUACAGGAGAGGUUAGUGGAAUUACUAGUGUAGAGGUGGGAUUCAUAGAUAUUAGUAAGAACACCAAUGGCGAAGGCAGCUAACUGGCCUGAAACUGACGCUGAAGCACGAAAGUGUGGGGAGCAAACAGGAUUAGAUACCCUGGUA